GGUCGAGAUCACAAUAGAUAUGUACAAUUCAAGACUGACUCGGAGGAUUAAUUAAACUCCUAACCUAUAGAUUAUGCAUACAGAUAACAACCGAGAAUUCUCUGUGUGGAGGGAUAUAUGAAUCCUAACCUAAUUUCCCUCACGCGAGAGAUUUGGAUCGACACACAUCAUACAACAAGAGACGAGCCCAGCACUAUGCAUGGAACGGUGACAGAUCCACGAACGAUCCCUGAUUACCGUGUCUUGAUUCUCGUGUUGCUUGUUUGUUCUUCUUGCUAGGAUUGGUGCCUUGAAGUGUACUCAAAGAUGAAUGACCGGUUGAUCACAUCUGCCGACUGCGCGAGCCAUCAGAGCAAUGUAGAUUAUAUGACUGACAGGGCUGGGAGCAAAUUAAGUUCGGAUAAUGAAAGUAGUCUUCGGGUCAGAGUGAAAGGGCCGUAAGUCCGUAACAAACUCGGACACCGCCGCCGACUACUGGCUGGCGACCGUGACGGACUGACGGGUAUACUAUUACUUCCGCUGCACACGGACCGGACCGGCACAGGAAAGUUUCUUCUCCGAUGGAGGACGGCUCCAUCGAUCUGGCCAAUGUUGUGAUUCAAUGUCUCGAUGAACAAUAAAAUGCGUUCUUGAGCUGGCACCGUGCAUGUGAGGCGCGGGCCUGCUGGGGCGCCGCAUGAGAGAAGAAGUUGGGUCGUACUCGUACGUUGGCGGGUGACGACGCUGGCGGACACUCCGGAGCUAGGAGAGAGAGGCCGUGCAGCGUGUCAUUUGGACACACGACACAUCGAUCGAUCGAUGAUCUGUGUGUGGCGAACCACACACCCAGGCUGCUCCCCGUUUGAAUCCGUGACGCGGACUUCGUGCGUACACAGGAUGAGACCGCGGUCCGCGCGUAUGCCGGUACGCGUACCGGCGUACGUAUGCAUCAUGCGUGCAUGCCGCCUCGCAUGCAGCGAACGGGCGCCGCCGCCCGGCGAGACCUUUU
rnacentral:lncRNA from 7 species